rnacentral:rRNA from 1 species
UACGAAGGGGGCUAGCGUUGCUCGGAAUUACUGGGCGUAAAGCGCACGUAGGCGGAUUGUUAAGUCGGGGGUGAAAUCCUGGAGCUCAACUCCAGAACUGCCUUCGAUACUGGCGAUCUCGAGUUCGGGAGAGGUGAGUGGAACUGCGAGUGUAGAGGUGAAAUUCGUAGAUAUUCGCAAGAACACCAGUGGCGAAGGCGGCUCACUGGCCCGAUACUGACGCUGAGGUGACGAAGCGAGGGGAGCAAACUGGG